AUUGAACGCUGGCGGCAGGCCUAACACAUGCAGGUCGAACGGUAACAGGAAGCAGCUUGCUGCUUUGCUGACGAGUGGCGGACGGGUGAGUAAUGUCUGGGAAACUGCCUGAUGGAGGGGGAUAACUACUGGAAACGGUAGCUAAUACCGCAUAACGUCGCAAGACCAAAGAGGGGGACCUUAGGGCCUCUUGCCAUCGGAUGUGCCCAGAUGGGAUUAGCUAGUAGGUGGGGUAACGGCUCACCUAGGCGACGAUCCCUAGCUGGUCUGAGAGGAUGACCAGCCACACUGGAACUGAGACACGGUCCAGACUCCUACGGGAGGCAGCAGUGGGGAAUAUUGCACAAUGGGCGCAAGCCUGAUGCAGCCAUGCCGCGUGUAUGAAGAAGGCCUUCGGGUUGUAAAGUACUUUCAGCGGGGAGGAAGGGAGUAAAGUUAAUACCUUUGCUCAUUGACGUUACCCGCAGAAGAAGCACCGGCUAACUCCGU
rnacentral:rRNA from 1 species